rnacentral:rRNA from 1 species
AUCAAAGAAGGUAAUAAUCCUGUAGUCGAAAAUGUUGUCUCUCUUGAGUGGAUCCUGAGUACGACGGAGCACGUGAAAUUCCGUCGGAAUCUGGGAGGACCAUCUCCUAAGGCUAAAUACUCUCUAGUGACCGAUAGUGAACCAGUACCGUGAGGGAAAGGUGAAAAGCACCCCGGAAGGGGAGUGAAAUAGAACCUGAAACCGUGUGCUUACAAGUAGUCAGAGCCCGUUAAUGGGUGAUGGCGUGCCUUUUGUAGAAUGAACCGGCGAGUUACGAUUUGAUGCAAGGUUAAGCAGUAAAUGUGGAGCCGUAGCGAAAGCGAGUCUGAAUAGGGCGUUUAGUAUUUGGUCGUAGACCCGAAACCAGGUGAUCUACCCUUGGUCAGGUUGAAGUUCAGGUAACACUGAAUGGAGGACCGAACCGACUUACGUUGAAAAGUGAGCGGAUGAACUGAGGGUAGCGGAGAAAUUCCAAUCGAACCUGGAGAUAGCUGGUUCUCUCCGAAAUAGCUUUAGGGCUAGCCUCAAGUGAUGAUUAUUGGAGGUAGAGCACUGUUUGGACGAGGGGCCCCUCUCGGGUUACCGAAUUCAGACAAACUCCGAAUGCCAAUUAAUUUAACUUGGGAGUCAGAACAUGGGUGAUAAGGUCCGUGUUCGAAAGGGAAACAGCCCAGACCACCAGCUAAGGUCCCAAAAUAUAUGUUAAGUGGAAAAGGAUGUGGCGUUGCCCAGACAACUAGGAUGUUGGCUUAGAAGCAGCCAUCAUUUAAAGAGUGCGUAAUAGCUCACUAGUCGAG